UACAGGGGGUGCAAACGUUGCUCGGAAUCAUUGGGCGUAAAGCGCACGUAGGCGGUUCGUUAUGUCGGAUGUGAAAGCCCUUGGCUUAACCGAGGAAGUGCAUCCGAAACUGGCGAGCUAGAGUACGAAAGAGGAUCGCGGAAUUCCCGGUGUAGAGGUGAAAUUCGUAGAUAUCAGGAGGAAUACCGAUGGCGAAGGCAGGUCUCUGGGCUGACACUGACGCUCAUGCACGAAAGCGUGGGGAGCAAACAGG
rnacentral:rRNA from 1 species